CCGAGCUUGCCGUACGUGGCGCGGGGUGUCGGGGACCCUCCGGCCAGCCCACUCCUUGCCUGGAGAUCCAGGAUGUCGGAGAGCCACGCUCACGGGCUCUAUCCAAGUUUUAGGAAACACGCGCGCGCGCGCACACACACAUACACACACACACACAUACACGCAUACACAACUUACCCCUCUGCGCUCUGCAAGGAAACGAAGAGAUUUGAGAAUUGACUGGUGAGAAGAGUAAAGAGGUGGGACUGCAAGAGGAUUUUAUGCCACGUGGGAAUGGCCGUACAGAACAGUGAUCCGACGUCCUUGGAAGUACCUGACCAAUCUGAUGGUUCCUAGACCUAAAUAACAGAGUAAAGGAAUGGACAACCCAUCCAGCACCGGGGCAAAUUCAGAUGGGACCCCAAAGAAUGGAGAGGAAUAUGAGAAAAGGGAAGUCCAUACUGGGCAGCCUUCAGAUGCCAUAUUUGCUUCCACCUCAGUUGGCUUCUCAUCAUGCUCGCGAGAUCAAUGCUUCUAUUACAACAGUCAUGUGAAAAAAAAUCCAGUGUAAGAAGAAGCAGCAUUCUUCCGAGGUUUUAUACCAAGGAGAUUCCUUAGUAAACAUUCUGCUGGCGAAAUUUCUCCUCAGAGUCUACCUCGUAGGAAACCCAAACCAUGACAACAAUCGAAUGAUUGUACCUUUAAGUACUGAAUAAGUAAAACAGUCAACCCAGCAUUCCAUGUGCUGCAAAGUUAUCUUCCAAAAAUGAAGAAAAAUAAAGAUAUUUUCAGAUGGACAAAAGCUAAGAAUAUGUACAUUGUGCUAUAAGAAAUACUGAAGAAAUUCUUCAAGUGGGAAAUAAAUGACACCAAGAAAUAACCUGCAUUCAAUGGAAGGAAUGAAAAGGACAGGAAAUAGAGAGAGAUUUUGCUCCUCGGGGGACUUUUGGCAAUGUCCAGAGACAUUUUUGGUUGUCACAGCUACAGAAAGGGUAUUCCUGGCAUCUAAUAGAUAAUGUCAGGGACAUCUCUCUUCCCCAAUAGAGAUUGGGGGUCCAUGGUUGAGAAACUCUAGUCUGUAUUCUUAACGUUUCCUCCAUAACUAUUUAAAAUUUAGACAAUAAACAAAAUAAUAAAUCAA